GACUGAACUCUCUCUCUGUUCUUGGGUAUAGUAGCAGCCUCUCUCGCUCUGUUCUGCUGUGUCUGGGUAGUAGUUACAGCUCUCUCUCUGUUUCUGUUCUGGGUAGUAGUUACAGCUCUCUCUGUCUGUUCUGGGUAGUAGUUACAGCUCUCUCUCUCUCUGUUCUGAGUAGUAGUUACAGCUCUCUCUCUCUGUUAUGGGUAGUAGUUACAGCUCUCUCUCUCUCUCCUCUCUCUGUCUCUGAGUAGUAGUCUACAGCUCUCUCUCUCUGUUCUGGGUAGUAGUUACAACUCUCUCUCUCUCUCUCCUCUGUUCUGGUGAGUAGUUAUUACAGCUCUUCUCUCUCUGUUGCUGAGUAAGUAGUUACAGCUCUCUC
rnacentral:lncRNA from 1 species